rnacentral:tRNA from 1 species
UCCCUUGUAGUCCAGUGGUUAGGAUACUCCGCUUUCACCGGAGCGGCCAGGGUUCGAUUCCCUGCAGGGGAG